rnacentral:lncRNA from 1 species
GGGCUGUUGGGAGGAGGGGAGCGGGUGUGGAGUCUGGGGGUCUCAGUGCAUCUUGGGGUCUCCUUAUCUCAGGGUGUCCAGCUGACGGCAGCUGGUGCAAAGUUCCCACCCCUGAGCUGGGGAGCUGAAAAUGUUUUCUGUCUUGACCCUGAGUCCCGGAAGCACCUCAGCUGCUCUUGGCGGGCAAAGCCAGGACCGUUUGCUCUCUGACCCUCCUCCCCACUGGGGCUGGUCCGUCUCAUCUCCCAGGGGACACUUCAGGCCACGGGCCUUGUGCAUAGGGACAGAGCUCCUUGCUGCAACCCCUCUCUGUGUUCCCAGUAGCAGCAGCACUGGAGUCCUAAAGCCAUAGCCCGGGAAGACACUCACAGCCCACCUUCUCAUACAGCUCGGCCCCACCCACAAUGCACCUGGCAUUUCCAACUGCACUUUGAACACUGAAGGUUCCCCAAAUGCUUUGUGUGUUUUAACUGCAGGAAGUUAGUUCUGUUGCAACUGCCUCCAGGACACACUCCCUCUUGAGGGCCGGCGGUGCUGGCCUGGGUUCCAUGGCCUCAGCAGCCGGCUCAGAGGGAGUGCAUCCAAGCCGCAGGGAAGCAGUGGUGAUGGGCGGCCUGAGGACUCCUUUCCAGAGAGGGCCUCUGAGCUCCUUUUAGGAAAGAACUUCCUUUGAGCCCCGGCCACUGUUGUACCAGUGGGAGAAGAAGCCUGACCCUGCCACAUGUGGUCACGGGGAGAGAAGAUGGUAGGACGUCCCCGUGAGCCUUGGGGCAGAGCUGGUGGUAGAAAGAAGCCCUGUCUACUCUAAUUUGAGCUUCUGGAGGGAAGAUAGGCCACGCCCCUGGGUGAGGAGCACGUCUUCCCACAGAUCCUAAGUCGGCCACACCCUGGGUGAGGAGCACGUCUUCCCAUAGGUCCCACGUCAGCCACACCCUGGGUGAGGAGCACGUCUUCCCAUAGAUCCCACAUCGGCCACACCCUGGGUGAGGAGCAUGUCUUCCCAUAGAUCCCACGUCGGCCACACCCUGGGUGAGGAGCACGUCUUCCCAUAGAUCCCACAUCGGCCACACCCUGGGUGAGGAGCAUGUCUUCCCAUAGAUCCCACGUCGGCCACACCCUGGGUGAGGAGCACGUCUUCCCAUAGAUCCCACGUCGGCCACACCCUGGGUGAGGAGCAUGUCUUCCCAUAGAACCCACGUCGGCCACACCCUGGGUGAGGAGCACGUCUUCCCACA